UACGUAGGGUGCGAGCGUUGUCCGGAUUUAUUGGGCGUAAAGGGCUCGUAGGCGGCGUGUCGCGUCGGGGAGUGAAAGCCCGCUGCUUAACGGCGGGUUGGCUUCCGGUACGGGCAUCGCUGGAGUGCGGCAGGGGGAGACUGGAAUUCCUGGUGUAGCGGUGGAAUGCGCAGAUAUCAGGAGGAACACCGGUGGCGAAGGCGGGUCUCUGGGCCGUUACUGACGCUGAGGAGCGAAAGCGUGGGGAGCGAACAGG
rnacentral:rRNA from 1 species